GCAGUGGUAGUUUACAGGUAGAAUUCCUUCUUUCCAUGCAGGAGACCCGGGUUCGAUUCCCAGCUGAUACA
rnacentral:tRNA from 1 species